rnacentral:lncRNA from 1 species
CAACUGGAAGUCUCACUGAGGAAAGGACUCUUUGCCUCAGACCCGGACAAUCGGCACUCUCGCCUGCUGUACAAACUAUUGGGACUUCCCCGGCUGAUUGUGGUGUGGAUGUUAUUUACUCUGACAACAAAGGUCUGAGGCAAGGAUUGCUGAUGUGGAGUCAAAGAGAAGUCCAGACGGGAGAAGACGAGCUAGCAUCCCAGAUAUUUCCGUGUAGCCCUCCAGAUCCACUCCCCACUCUUCCCCACCCUGUUCUGUGCCCCAGCUGCUGAUCUGUAGGACCUGCAGCAAGGUACCUGCUCUUUGGCUUCCCACUGUGUUAUCCAGAGGAAUGCAUUGACAGAGAAUCAGCAAGGAGAAAAGUUGGACCUGUAUUCCCCAGACAUCUUGCUGCUGGGCCCCCUCAGGGAACCUGACUGAUACAGGUGAUAAGUUUGUGAAUUAGAACAGUGACAUGAAAAACAUAAGAAAAGGUCCAGAUCUGAGGUACAUUCCAAAAGAAGUAACAUACCUAGAUGAAAGACUGAUGGAGACUUUUCACUACAAUGAACAAUAUUUCACUGACUCUCCGUAGGAAAAUUUCUCUAAGGUUCUUAUGGCAUUGC